rnacentral:rRNA from 1 species
UUUUAAACGGCCGCGUUAGCGUGAGCGUGCUAAGGUAGCGUAAUAAUUAGCCUUUUAAUUGGAGGCCAGUGAAUGGCAAGACUAGGAAUACCUGUACUUUGUGUAUAAAAAAAACUUUUCAUCUAAGUGAAAAGACUUAGAUAACAAAGGAAGACGAAAAGACCCCGCGGAACUUUACCUUUUCUUUAUACCUCUGCAUACAAGCUUAAAAGUAUAUAAGGUUUGAUUGGGGCAAUCUUGGAACCAAUAAAGCUUCCAACCUUUAUAUAAAAACAUAUAAAAUUUAUUAAGGACCAUAAAARAGUUACCCCGGGGAUAKCAGCGKAAUCCYACUUAAGAGUACACAACGGAKGUUGGUUUUGCCAACCCCC